rfam:Pteropus alecto contig12988, whole genome shotgun sequence.
GCUCACUUCGAGAGGAGAUACGAAAACUGGAAUGAAACAGAGAAGACUAGCAUGGCCCUUAGGAAAGAAUAACAUGCAAAUUCAUGAAGUGUCCAUAUUUUAU